rnacentral:sRNA from 1 species
AUGAUUUCUGGGCCUUUUGGCUAAGAUCAAGUGUAGUAUGAUUAUGAAUUAUAAUUGUGCAUAUAUACUGACUGUUCUUUAUGGCCAUUAAUGUCUAAGUAAUAAGAAUAAGUAUUUUAUUCCCUCCUACUCGACAAGCA